GGGCACAUGGUGUAGUUGGUUUAUCACGCUCGCUUAGCAAUGUUAUGUGCGAGAGGUGUCCGGUUCAAUUCCGGAUGUGUCCA